rfam:Rattus norvegicus chromosome 9, whole genome shotgun sequence.
GGGGAUUUGGCUCAGUGGUAGAGCACUUGCCUAGCAAGCACAAGGCCCUGGGUUCGAUCCCCAGCUCCG